ensembl:lncRNA
GGAGGUUAUUAGCGUGCAGGCAAUAGCCUAUUACAGCAGCACAGCUGAUGAAUGCAGGUAACCAGGAAUGCAGCACAUAAACGUGGAACCAGAAGGAAGAAAAAUGUUUGGGGAGCUGCAAGGCAAUGGCCUCCCCCUGCAGCUCCUCUCAAUGUCUGUGUGGGAGCUGCUGGCUUCAGGGCUGUGUGGCUUAGCCAGGAGCUCUCUGUGGGCUGGAACCUGAAGGGCACAGGAAAGACAUGGCCAAGAUGUGGCCAGGCUCUUCCACCUGUCUGACAGAAAGCUUCUCAGCUUGUGCUGAGAAAUGACUGAGGCACGCAGCAGGGAGUUAAUAAAGUUUCAGAGAGAAACACUUUGAAAAAUGAGCCAGUGUCACAGUUUAUCACUAAUAAGAGUUUUCCUGGUGAAAAUAAUGCUGCUGUUCCCAACUGCAAUUUGUUUGUCAACUGUACGUUUCCCAUCAGUAAAAACCUUUGCUAUUCAGAAAUACUGAACAAAGUUCCAUGUUAGGUGUAUGCAGCAAGUAACACAUAUAAAUACAGAAUUUCCUAGAAGAAGCUUCAGGAAUGCUGAGUGCACAGCUCAUGUGACAGUAAUCAUAGAAUCAUGGCAUCCUUAAGGCCAGAAAAGAUCUCUAAGUUCACCCAGUCCAAUCAUCAACCCAUUCCCACCAUGCUCAUUGACCAUGUCAUGUCUCUCUGUGUCAUAUCUUCCCUCUUCUUGAACACCUCCAGGGAUGAUGACUGCACCACCUCCCUGGGCAGCCUGUGCCACUGCAUCAUCACUCUUUCUGAGAAUGUUUCCUAACACCCAACCUGAACCUCCUGUGGAGCAACUUGAGGCCAUUCUUUCUCCUCCUAUUGCUGCUCCCUGGGAGCAGAGGCAGACCUCCACCUCACAACCUCCUGUCAGGCAGUUGUGUAGAGCUAUAAGGUCUCCCCUGAACCUCCUCUUCACUAGACUGAACAACUCCAGCUCCCUCAGCUGCUCCCUGUAAGACUUGUGCUCCAGACGGCUCACAGCUUCAUUGCCCUUCUCUGGACAUGCUCCAG